GAGCGGGCGAUAUCGUACCAGCUAGUUGGUAGGGUAACGGCCUACCAAGGCGACGACGCGUAGCGGGACUGAGAGGUCGGCCCGCCACAUCGGGACUGAGACACUGCCCGGACUCCUACGGGGGGCUGCAGUAACGAAUACUGGGCAAUGCACGCAAGUGUGACCCAGCGACGCCGCGUGUGGGACGAAGUCCUUCGGGAUGUAAACCACUGUCAGGGGCAAGAAAGUUCUGAUCUGCCCCAGAGGAAGGCACGGCUAACUCUGUGCCAGCAGCCGCGGUAAGACAGAGGUGCCAAGCGUUAGGCGGAAUCACUGGGCUUAAAGCGUGUGUAGGCGGAACGUUAAGUGCCUUGUGAAAUCCCACGGCUCAACCGUGGAACUGCUUGGCAUACUGGCGUUCUUGAGCUGCCUAGGGGUCACUGGAACAAACGGUGGAGCGGUGAAAUGCGUAGAUAUCGUUUGGAACGCCCAAGGUGAAAACAGGUGACUGGGGGCAAGCUGACGCUAAGACACGAAAGCCAGGGGAGCAAACGGGAUUAGAU
rnacentral:rRNA from 1 species